UGGAACCCAAGUGUGGAAAAUUUAUGCACAGGCUUUUUUCAUUGAACUAAUGAAUCCCCUACAUUAUGUGCCAGACUACGUACCAGACCCAGAGAUACAAAGGUCUGUGAUCAAGAUGAACGAGAGGGUCUCUGCCCUACACAAGGCUCAUUGCUGACCACAGGACACACAAAAAAAGCAACUCUAUGUUCAAUAAAUGCAGAAUAAUGACGAUGGCAGUGAGGAUGAUGAUGGCAACCGCCAAGAUUUCCUGGGCACUUAACCUGCACUACGUACUGCUAAACAUUUUAUAUUUAAACCUGACAACAAACCUAAGAGUGAGGUAUUAUCAGAAACCCUUAUUUUAAAGACACGGAAAAGAGGCUGAACAACAUUUGCAAG